rnacentral:tRNA from 1 species
AAAAAGAUAAGCUAAUUAAGCUUUUAGGUUCAUACCCUGAUUAUAGAAGUCAAAUCUUCUUCUUUUUA